rnacentral:rRNA from 1 species
CAAUAGCGUAUAUUAAAGUUGUUGCGGUUAAAAAGCUCGUAGUUGGAGUUCUGCCAGGUGCCGCCUGUCCGCCCCAGUGGUGAGUACGUGGCGCGCAUUUGGCCCUUUCAAGGGGAGCGUAUCUGCACUUUAUUGUGUGGUGCGGGAUCCUUGACUUUUACUUUGAGGAAAUAGGAGUGUUCCAAGCAGGCUCUCGUCGUGCACAGCUCAGCAUGGAAUAAUAGCAUUGGACCUCGAUUCUAUGCUGUUGGUUGCCAGAAGCGAGGUAAUGAUGAAGAGGGAUAGUUGGGGGCAUUCGUAUUUAACUGCCAGAGGUGAAAUUCUUGGAUUUGUUAAAGACGGACUACUGCGAAAGCAUCUGCCAUGGAUGUUUUCAUUGA